AUGGAACGCUGGCGGCGUGCUUAACACAUGCAAGUCGAUCGGUAACGCGGGGGCAACCCUGGCGACGAGAGACGGACGGGUGAGGAACGCUUGGGAAUCUGCCCUUCAGCGGGGGACAACACGGGGAAACUCGUGCUAAUACCGCAUACGCUCCACGGAGGAAAGCCGGGGACCGCAAGGCCUGGCACUGAAGGAUGAGCCCAAGUCGGAUUAGCUAGUUGGCGGGGUAACGGCCCACCAAGGCGACGAUCCGUAGCUGGUCUGAGAGGACGAUCAGCCACACUGGGACUGAGACACGGCCCAGACUCCUACGGGAGGCAGCAGUGGGGAAUAUUGGACAAUGGGCGAAAGCCUGAUCCAGCCAUGCCGCGUGUGUGGAGAAGGUCUUCGGAUUGUAAAGCACUUUAAGUUGGGAGGAAGGGUAUUCACCUAAUACGUGGGUACUUUGACGUUACCAACAGAAUAAGCACCGGCUAACUCUGUGCCAGCAGCCGCCGUAACAC
rnacentral:rRNA from 1 species